CCGGGUUCAACCGGGAACCUUUUCACGGACAUCGAGCACGCACGGCUCGUGGCCGGAACGAAACCGAAGUCGUUCGGGCAUUCAAGCUCUUCAUUGGGACAAAUAGGAGCCGAUGACUCCAUGCCCUCAUCGUUUUCUGCAUCCCAGCGCCCGAGCGAGAAUUCAUGGACCACGAAACCGACACGAAACGUGUGGAAUCUGGGACACGGAUCCCGUUUCGAGUUUCACCCGCAGCCGCACCGAGAUAACGGGCAACCUUAGGCGAACAGCUAGAGAUUGACAACCGAAUUCCAUCGAGUAGGUACGAAACACAGGAAACCGUGGGACGGCCAAUGUAAAAUUGUGCCAACAAUGAAGAGGAUAGCAAGAUAGGACGUCGCGCUCAAGGCAGGGAUCCACCCAAACCUUGCUACC
rnacentral:misc_RNA from 1 species